AGCGGUCUCGCAUCGAGGUACAGCGUGGUAUGGCCGUUAGCGGUCGCACAUCAAGGUACAGCGUGCUAUGGCCGUU
rnacentral:misc_RNA from 1 species